GGCAACUUGCCAAAUCGGGCAAGCAAGAUAAAACGUUUACUUGCCCAUCAUGAAUUUCACUUGUCUCGGGCAACUAGUGGGCAAGUCUUAAGUUACACCUCUGCUUGCUUUUUACACUAGAAAACAACCAAAAAUAGCAAAUUCAUUGUCACUCAAUAAUUUGCUUCUGUUAUAUAUCAACCUUAUAUAUUUUUUCUUAAUAGUGGUUGUAUUUAAUAUGGAUUCAUUAUAUCCUGUGAUGCUGAAUGAAAAGUUAUCGAAGCAUCCCAGGAGAAGGCAAGUCAUCUAAACAAGUGGCAAUAUAUAUGAUCAUUAAUGGCAUUCUAAGUACGGUACUUCAUGGUCUAUUUGGAAAAUGUUAUUCUUUUGCUGGAGAGCAUUAUGUUUAUGGCUUACCAAACCAUGCAAGGAAAGGACUAGGAGUUGCCGACUGGUGGUAUAGUACAGCUUGUUUUGUGCUAAAAUUUAGCUAAUGGACUUGCACGACAUUAGACAUAUAUAUAUGCUUGAUUGAGCACUGACACUACAUGCAGUGUAUUUUACUUGUAAAUAUUCAAGAUUGAACAGAAUGUUUAACCCUUUAAGUGGCAAUGUGCUCUACUUUAUUAUUUUAUUAUUUUUUGUCCAAUGCAAGGUAUGCUGCCACUCAAUGGGUUAAAGUCUUUCUGUAGAUGGAAAUAUUGAACAAUAACAGUUAUGUAAUAGCUAUUGUGCCGGGAAUGAAACCCCUGUGAUUCGGAUCGGCUUCUUAAUUGCAAAGAGUCCAUCAAGCCCCAAGAGUCAAUGAAGGUCACCAGCAGUUUAUGUAUAUAAUACUGAUACCAGUUAACUUAAUAUACUACCACUGACACCACCAUGGUUUAUAUAUGUACAGCAACUUGUGGUGACCUCUUGGCAAACAGACACUUUAAGUCAGAGGGCAGCAGUAGAAUUGCAGGGCUGCCGGUAGGUUCAGUUCAUACUGGCAGACUUGCAAUUGCUCUCUGAGUUAUUUGCAGUGUGUUUGUUCACUGCAACCAGGUAUAUCAAUCAUGUUUCGCUUGCUAAUCUGGAUUAAAUAAAUAAUUACAAAGCCUGGUGGAAUUGCAAUCAUGACCCAGUGUUUAGACACUCCAGUCUAGUGUCUUCUUUAGGUGUGAUCUAAAGUUGCAAUUGUGGCUUCUUAAAUACCCGACACAAUCUUGUGUUUGGUGUCAC